rnacentral:rRNA from 1 species
AGAGCGAACGCUGGCGGCAGGCUUAACACAUGCAAGUCGAGCGGGCGUAGCAAUACGUCAGCGGCAGACGGGUGAGUAACGCGUGGGAACGUACCUUUUGGUUCGGAACAACACAGGGAAACUUGUGCUAAUACCGGAUAAGCCCUUACGGGGAAAGAUUUAUCGCCGAAAGAUCGGCCCGCGUCUGAUUAGCUAGUUGGUGAGGUAAUGGCUCACCAAGGCGACGAUCAGUAGCUGGUCUGAGAGGAUGAUCAGCCACAUUGGGACUGAGACACGGCCCAAACUCCUACGGGAGGCAGCAGUGGGGAAUAUUGGACAAUGGGCGCAAGCCUGAUCCAGCCAUGCCGCGUGAGUGAUGAAGGCCCUACCGGGUUGUAAAGCUCUUUUGUGCGGGAAGAUAAUGACGGUACCGCAAGAAUAAGCCCCGGCUAACUUCGUGCCAGCAGCCGC